AUUGAACGCUGGCGGCAGGCCUAACACACGCAAGUCGAGCGAGCGGCGGACGGGUGAGUAAUGUAUGGGGACUGCCCGAUAGAGGGGGAGAACUACUGGAGACGGUAGCUAAUACCACAUACUAUCGGAUAACCCAGAUGUGAUUGGCUAGUAGGUGAGGUAAUGGCUCACCUAGGCGACGAUCCCUAGCUGGUCUGAGAGGAUGAUCAGCCACACUGGGACUGAGACACUGCCCAGACUCCUACGGAGGCAGCAGUGGGGAAUAUUGGACAAUGGGCGAAAGCCUGAUGCAGCCAUGCCGCGUGUAUGAAGAAGGCCUUAGGGUUGUAAAGUACUUUCAGUCGGGAGGCGUUACCGACAGAAGAAGCACCGGCUAACUCCGUGCCAGCAGCCGCGGUAAUUC
rnacentral:rRNA from 1 species